UACGGAGGGUGCAAGCGUUAUCCGGAUUCACUGGGUUUAAAGGGUGCGUAGGCGGGUUGGUAAGUCCGUUGUGAAAUCCCCAAGCUUAACUUGGGAACUGCCGUGGAUACUAUCAAUCUUGAAUAUCGUGGAGGUAAGCGGAAUAUGUCAUGUAGCGGUGAAAUGCUUAGAUAUGACAUAGAACACCAAUUGCGUAGGCAGCUUACUACACGAUCAUUGACGCUGAUGCACGAAAGCGUGGGGAGCAAACAGG
rnacentral:rRNA from 1 species